rnacentral:rRNA from 1 species
UCGAACGAAGUAGCAAUACUUAGUGGCAGACGGGAGAGUAACAUGUGGGUAUCUACCCUUUGGCCUGGAAUAACACGAGGAAACUUGUGCUAAUACCGGAUAAGUCUUUACGGAGAAAGCUUUAUGCACCAUUGGAUGAGCCUGCACUUGAUUAGUUUGUUGGUGGGGUAAUGGCCUACCAAGACUGUGAUCAAUAGCUGAUUUGAGAGGAUGAUCAGCCACAUUGGGACUGAGACACGGCCCAAACUCCUACGGGAGGCAGCAGUGGGGAAUCUUGCACAAUGGAGGAAACUCUGAUGCAGCGAUGCCGCGUGAGUGAAGAAGGCCUUUGGGUUGUAAAGCUCUUUCGUCAGGGAAGAAAAUGACUGUACCCGAAUAAGAAGGUCCGGCUAACUUCGUGCCAGCAGCCGCGGUAAUACGAAGGGACCUAGCGUAGUUCGGAAUCACUGGGCUUAAAGAGUUCGUAGGUGGUUGAAAAAGUUGGUGGUGAAAUCCCAGAGCUUAACUCUGGAACUGCCAUCAAAACUUUUCAGCUAGAGUUUGAUAGAGGAAAGCAGAAUUUCUAGUGUAGAGGUGAAAUUCGUAGAUAUUAGAAAGAAUACCAAUUGCGAAGGCGGCUUUCUGGAUCAUUACUGACACUGAGGAACGAAAGCAUGGGUAGCGAAGAGGAUUAGAUACCCUCGUAGUCCAUGCCGUAGACGAUGUGUGUUAUACGUUGGAAA